rnacentral:rRNA from 1 species
AUGUCUUCGGACAUUAGUGGCGGACGGGUGAGUAACGCGUGAGAAUCUGCCUUCAGGAGGGGGAUAACGACUAGAAAUGGUCGCUAAUACCCCAUAUGUCACGGAUGAAAAGAUUUUUUGCCUGAAGAUGAGCUCGCGUCAGAUUAGCUAGUUGGUGAGGUAACGGCUCACCAAGGCGACGAUCUGUAGCUGGUCUGAGAGGAUGAUCAGCCACACUGGGACUGAGACACGGCCCAGACUCCUACGGGAGGCAGCAGUGGGGAAUUUUCCGCAAUGGGCGAAAGCCUGACGGAGCAAGACCGCGUGGGGGAUGAAUGCCUAAUGGUUGUAAACCCCUUUUAUUCGGGAAGAUAAUGACGGUACCGAAUGAAUCAGCCUCGGCUAACUCCGUGCCAGCAGCCGCGGUAAUACGGAGGAGGCAAGCGUUAUCCGGAAUUAUUGGGCGUAAAGCGUCCGUAGGUGGUUGGACAAGUCAGCUGUUAAAGAGUGGUGCUUAACACCAUAAAGGCGGUUGAAACUGUUUAACUAGAGUUUGGUAGGGGUUGCGGGAAUUCCCAGUGUAGCGGUGAAAUGCGUAGAUAUUGGGAAGAACACCGGUGGCGAAAGCGCGCGACUGGACCUGAACUGACACUGAGGGACGAAAGCUAGGGGAGCGAAAGGGAUUAGAUACCCCUGUAGUCCUAGCUGUAAACGAUGGAUACUAGGUGUUGCCCGUAUAUCGACCCGGGCAGUGCCGUAGCUAACGCGUUAAGUAUCCCGCCUGGGGAGUACGCUCGCAAGAGUGAAACUCAAAGGAAUUGAC